rnacentral:rRNA from 1 species
CGUAGCCUACGGGGCGCAGCAGUGAGGAAUAUUGGUCAAUGGCCGGAAGGCUGAACCAGCCACGCCGCGUGAAGGACGAAGGUGCCAAGCAUUGUAAACUUCUUUUGUCAAGGGACAAAAUCAGGCUCGAGAGCCUGACCGAGGGUACUUGAAGAAAAAGCAUCGGCUAACUCCGUGCCAGCAGCCGCGGUAAUACGGAGGAUGCGAGCGUUAUCCGGAUUUAUUGGGCGUA